rnacentral:ncRNA from 1 species
GGGGCCCCGAGUCAUGGGUCGCUGUCCGCGAGGGCCGCGGCUAAGCGUUGACAGGGGAACGUGCAGGCACCGUAUUGAGCUCCGAGAACAAUCCCUUGGGAGUGCCGACCUUGUUGGGUGAAGGGGAAGGCAACACGGCGGCUGGCGUUAGCCGCGAGUCAGUCGUCGGCUCCCCGGAGUCAUAGACC